rnacentral:piRNA from 1 species
UNGGCAGCAUCAGACAGUCUAGAAAUGUCUA